rnacentral:rRNA from 1 species
CUUGAACGCUGGCGGCAGGCCUAACACAUGCAAGUCGAGCGAGAGGCGGACGGGUGAGUAAUGUAUGGGAAACUGCCCGAUAGAGGGGGAUAACUACUGGAAACUGUGGCUAAUACCGCAUACUAUCAGAUGAACCCAUAUGGGAUUAGCUAGUUGGGUGGGUAACGGCUAACCAAGGCGACGAUCUCUAGCUGGUCUGAGAGGAUGCUCAUCCACACUGGGACUGAGACACGGCCCAGACUCCUACUGGAGGCAGCAGUGGGGAAUAUUGCACAAUGGGCGCAAGCCUGAUGCAGCCAUGCCGCGUGUAUGAAGAAGGCCGUAGGGUUGUAAAGUACUUUCAGCGGGGAGGCGUUACCCGCAGAAGAAGCACCGGCUAACUCCGUGCCAGCAGCCGCGGUAAUAC